GACGAGGGCGCGAGCGUUGUCCGGAUUUAUUGGGCGUAAAGAGCUCGUAGGCGGCUUGUCGCGUCGACUGUGAAAUCCCGCGGCUCAACCGCGGGUCUGCAGUCGAUACGGGCAGGCUAGAGUUCGGUAGGGGAGACUGGAAUUCCUGGUGUAGCGGUGAAAUGCGCAGAUAUCAGGAGGAACACCGAUGGCGAAGGCAGGUCUCUGGGCCGAUACUGACGCUGAGGAGCGAAAGCGUGGGGAGCGAACAGG
rnacentral:rRNA from 1 species